GUGCAAAUGAAUACAUACAUGCUGGUAAUGCCACAACGGCAGGACAAGCAAAAGAAAACCAUACAGUACACGCUUAUAACAUGGCAUUCAGAGCAAUUGCACAAAUAUUAUUGUUAUGGUAUACUAGUAAACAAGCUGAGGUUCACGUGUCUAAACAAAAAAUCAUAUAAGGUUAGAUGAUCAGUAUGGUAACUAGGACACAGUGAAUGUGAGGGUUAGAGCACCCAAGAGGCCCCCUGGUGAAUACCAAAUUGUGAAGUGUCACAAGCAUAAAAAGCCCAAAUAACGAUAGCUGUCUACAGGGGAAAACACAAAAGAAGGUAAAAACUAGAGUC